UUUUAACAGCCAGGCACUCCUAAAGCGUGUAACGUCCCUUAGAUACAGUAGAAGAUCAGCAGUGAACGCUCGUGAAAGCAUUUGUCAAGUCAAUUUGUCAAUGUGUAUAAAAUUGAACUCGCAUAUUGUUUCGGAUUGAAAAAAAGAGAUCGGAUGAGCA